rnacentral:tRNA from 1 species
GCAUUGGCAGUUUAGUAGUAGAACUCCGCCUUCCAUAUAGAAGACCUGAGUUCAAUUCCCAGCCACUGCA